CCCAUAACUCAGGGAUAGACCUUUCGAAAGAAAGAGUUAAUACCUGAUAGACUUUUUCAAGGCAUCUUGAGAAAGUUAAGGAUUUAUGGUUAUGGAUGGGGAUGCGUUCCAUUAGAUAGUUGGUGAGGUAACGGCUCACCAAGUCUUCGAUGGAUAGGGGUUCUGAGAGGAAGGUCCCCCACAUUGGUACUGAGACACGGACCAAACUCCUACGGGAGGCAGCAGUGAGGAAUAUUGGUCAAUGGGCGAGAGCCUGAACCAGCCAAGUAGCGUGAAGGAAUGAAGGUCCUAUGGAUUGUAAACUUCUUUUAUAGUAGAAUAAAGUGAUCCACGUGUGGAUUUUUUGUAUGUAUACUAUGAAUAAGGAUCGGCUAACUCCGUGCCAGCCGCGGC
rnacentral:rRNA from 1 species